UUUCAGAUUAAGUUUUAAAUAUCUCCUAAUAAGAAUGUGUUAGAGAGUAACUGAAAGAGCUAGAGAAAUGUUUUACUGAUUUCUGGCUCUCAGAUGAGGCUGUCUGCAUGGACCCAUGCAUGGCAGGGUAAGCUGUUAAGCAGGGAUGGAAGGAGGAAUCAAAGAGAAAGCAUUGUCAGGCCAGCAUCUUGUUCAAGGUAAAACUGAUGUUCAAAGUUUCAAAAUUGAAAAGCUAAAGGUCUUAGGGAAGAAAAAUAAAGAAUCCUGAGAUCAGGAACAGAAAGAAGAGGAAAAAUAAAAAACAAAACAAACAAACAAACAGGAAAAAUCAAGAUAAAAGGACAUGGAACUGAAAGAACUGGAAAAAAAUAGGAGAAGCUGGUCCUUAUGCUGGUAAGGACAACAGGCUUUGCAUCCCGAGAACAAUUAUAAAAUUAACGAUCUGCUACUACACACUGUGUUUCCUGGAGUGACGCCUGUGGAGCAGGCUGGGAUGGCUGACUAGAAACCAUCGUUUAGUUUUCACUGUGCUAACCAGUUGCACUGCUCGAAUCUCGCGAGUCUAACCUCAGGAGUCUCCAGAGAGAGGAGUCUUGGAAUAAGCCUUCCUCGUUCUGAGCUCUACAGGACCUCGCUGUAGAGCUUCCUUUCUGGUGUUUUCACCACGGUGCUCUGGCUUCUCUUCCUGAAUACAUACAUCAUCUUGGGAAAGGACCAUGCUGAUUCAGUGACAGAGUAGGAUAAUUCUUUGACAAGAGAUUUCAUCAACACUUGGGAGCAGGUGACUGAGUCCCAGAUGAAGGGACAUUAUCCUCCUGUGAAUUUAUAACUGCUCAGGGAGCCUGCAGUCGUGAGAGGAAGGAGCCAAGGACAUGUGCAGCCGGAGUGGACAUCCUGGCCCUGUGCUGGGUAGCCUGCCCCUAUGUGGAAACAUUGCUUCUUUGUUCCUUUAUACUUGACUGUGGUCACUGUUCAGGACCAGGCAGCAGCCUUGCUCUCUUUCUGUCUGACAGAGGUGUGAUGGCCAGAGCUCAGUGUGUAGCUCUGCUUUUAACUUUGCUUUUCGGGGAGGAGGGGCUGUGAGGAGGACGGUCUGUGUUGGCUUGUCUAUUCCACAUACAGUCUAUUUAGCAUGACUCUAGGCAUCCACAGACCUUACAUCUCAGUUUCUCACUGAUUUUAUACUAGCCUUUUGACAAUGGUUUUUGUCUAUGUGUUGCUGGGAACUGAAUAGAGAGCCUUGUACAUGAUAACUGCUUGGCCACCCAGCUACAUCAGCUGUCCAUAGGGAGGCUUUUGUUUUGUUUUGUCUUUUGGUACAAGUGUCACAAUAUUAUGUGGAUACAGACCUCUUAACCCUCCCUCCACACCUAUGGUUGAUCUGAAGUUCUAAUUUUAGUUGGCAUCCUGUUUGUCUGGAAAUCCCACCCAUACCCACAGUCAGGGCUGGUCCUUGUUGAACUGAGGCAAUGUAAUAAAGGAACUGUUCAGGGACUCUGCCCAAAUCUAAGGACAUUUUUUUUUCAGGUGACUACAGGCUUUGUUCUUCAAGCCUCCCUACAAUCAGCCCGCAUAUUUGUUCUCUCUACUACAAUGGAAAGAUUAGAAAUUGUUAAUGUCCUGAACGGCUGCCGAUUUCUUACUACUCUCAUCUACCAAUUGUGAUCUCUGUAGGCUUCUGAGAUGCCAUUAGGUGAAGAGAUGGAUAUGAUAGACGGGAAGAAUGUCAAGGGUGCUCACAUUAUCACUGGAUGAGCAAAGUUUUGCUACUCCUAACUCAGCUUCCUAGGCAUCAGUGGCUACUCAUCUGGUAGCACCCCUUUUAAAAACAGAAUGGGUUAUGUGGUUGGAUAAAUGAGGCCAUCUUAGGCUAGAGCUGAUUUAAUAGACUGAGAAGAAUGGCUUUCCGCAAGCUAUCUCCGUGGAGAUUUAUUUUCUCAUCCCAUCAUUCUAUUAUUUGUUUACUACCUUAUCACUGAGUUCAUCUACUUCCCUAGAAAGUUAAUAAACCAAAAAAAGAUAAAUGCCCUAUGCAAAACUACUCAUAAAUAGAAAAAUAAUCAUAGCGACAUUUAUAGAGCAUUUACUAUGUGCCAGAAAACAGCUAUGUGUAUUACAUAUACUACCUCAUGGAGUCUCUGUGCUUAAGGAAAACCUACUGACUCUCCUUUGCAUGAGUACACAUGUAACCAGGAAGGGAAAGAGCCAUCAUAAGCCUCACAGUGUGCUCUGAAUGCACUGCCCUUCUGUGUCUUGCCAUCCUGAAGCCCUUUACUUGUAAGUAUUCAUUUUUAAAACAGGCUGGAUUGUGUGGAGCUGGUCUUCUGUUCUCUGCUCCUUUAAUUCCCUCCGAGAAAAAGCAAGGUGGGUUUGCGGUUGUGAUUGUGCUUCUAAUUUCCAUUAGCCUUAUCAGUAUGCAUACCGCCCUGCAGCCUCAGCCCCCACUGUGAUCACAGGCAGCUUUCUCCUUCCUCCUCUUGCUAAAGAUUUGCUUCCCUCUGCAAAUAUUUUCUUAUCCACUCACCAACUCACAAAGCAUCAAGUGAUAACUAUAUGACCUAGAAAAAAAUUACUAAAACGUCGAAUUCAGGAGGGAACGCAGCUAGAGAUGGCAGAGAGCCAGUUCCCAAAGCAAGGUGGAUCAAAGGAAAUCCUUAAUACCUGCUCAGGGCUGGCACGGUCAUAACUGUGUGGCUUAUUUCCCUUGUGCACUGGUGGCUCGUGUAAAUUGCAGGAGAGUCCCUGCGAAGUCCCAAGAGGUAUAGACAUGCCCUUCAGUAUCUCCAGCGAGUUCCACUGGAGGUAACAAAACUCUGAUGCAGUAACUACACAAGGUAUCAUUGAUACCUCAGCUGGAAAUAAGACAGAGGAUUUAACUCAUGCCACCGCACUGUCCUCAGGAUCAUCAUAAGGGGCUCUGUUCGUUCUUUGUCUUCAUGACAAAAAUGAUGGGUCCCCAAGAGUAUUGCUAUGGUGGUUAGUCUGUUUGCCUACACUGUCUACCUGAAUAAAUCUGAAAUCACCUAGAAUAUACACCUCAGGGAAACUCAUGCUGGGUGAGUGUAUGGUAGGUGUGCUGUCCCAUAGGCUAGGGUCACCCCCAACUCACCCCCAGUGGACAAAAAAACAGAAAGAAGAAAGCCAACACUUCCUUUCUCUUGACUUCUGCUUUGCCCACAAAUAAGGUGUCCCAGGUUUACAUGCCAGACAUGAUAAACUCUGCCAUCAGAGACUUUAUUCUCUCACACCAGAAGCAAAAUAAAUAC